GUGGGGAAUCUUGCGCAAUGGGCGAAAGCCUGACGCAGCCAUGCCGCGUGAAUGAUGAAGGUCUUAGGAUUGUAAAAUUCUUUCACCGGGGACGAUAAUGACGGUACCCGGAGAAGAAGCCCCGGCUAACUUCGUGCCAGCAGCCGCGGUAAUACGAAGGGGGCUAGCGUUGCUCGGAAUUACUGGGCGUAAAGGGCGCGUAGGCGGACAGUUUAGUCAGAGGUGAAAGCCCAGGGCUCAACCUUGGAAUUGCCUUUGAUACUGGCUGUCUUGAGUACGGGAGAGGGGAGUGGAACUCCGAGUGUAGAGGUGAAAUUCGUAGAUAUUCGGAAGAACACCAGUGGCGAAGGCGACUCACUGGCCCGUUACUGACGCUGAGGCGCGAAAGCGUGGGGAGCAAACAGGAUUAGAUACCCUGGUAGUCC
rnacentral:rRNA from 1 species